GCCUUUGCUGCUGCAUCAUUUGAAAUUGAUGACUCUGCUGCUGCUGUCGUGGAAGAAACAACUCUGGAGGCCUCAAAUCAAAGAC
rnacentral:sRNA from 1 species